UUUAGUGGAUUGAAUUCUCAAGUAGAGACCUGAGAAGUAGAUGUAGGUGCAAGAUUGGCACCGAACCACUAUAAAUCCUUUGUGUUUGUUAUGCUUACCUCUUUUAUCUUAUUCUUUGUGCUCAUUACUUGCUUACUUCUUAUUUGUGUUUGAUUUUGUUUCUAUUGCAAGUUGAUGCACUUCACUCUUCAUCUUGGCACAUUGCUUAAGUAGUUCAAUUUUUAAAAUUUCAAAAAGAUCCAAUUCACCCCUCCUCUUGGGCUCCGUAUCUGGGCAACAGAUCUUAUGGAUUUUUCAAUAAUUUUAGCCAAGAUUCAACCCCCUUCCUCAAUCUGACUUGGAAGUCAGUCAGACGGGCUGAUCCAUCUUUUCUUUGCUGAGUCAAUGAUGAAGUCUUUUGAGUGAUGUAUUAUGACUUUACUCAUAUCAUAGAUACUACUUUUAAGCUUUUUUUUAUUGGGAACUCUCAUUGUUCUUCAGCACAGCCUCUGAAAGUUUUUUUUUUUC
rnacentral:lncRNA from 1 species